UUCAAAUGUGUAUAUACAAAUGUAAAACUUAUACAGCAACAAAGCAGUUAAUUUCAAAUUGAAUUAUUCAUUGGCCAGAGGAGGACGGAUUCAGUUUUUGAUUUUAAUAUGUAACAGUUGAGAAAUCCCGAUAUGGCAAAAGAGACACCACUCAGUUCGGUUGGAUGUUUUUUUAAUUCGAACCACUUUUAAAAUUACAAUGAGGUGAUUUGUUAAAAAGGAGAAAUGUGGAAAUUGAAACUUUUCCCAGGAUUUUUCCGGGGCUUGGCUGGAAAAUCCGAGCCGCCGAGACGUGUCUGCAUUGUUGGAAGUGGCCCAGCUGGUUUCUACUUUGCACAGCACUUGUUCAAAGAGUAUACACAUCUGGUUGGAUAGGUACUGGCCCAACUGGUGUAAUUAUAUCAACAAUGAACAACGCCUUCAGUCAGGCGGAUGCUCUAAUCCAAGAUAUACAAUCAGGAAAACUGGACACGUCAGAGGCCAAGCCAGGAUACAAUUUCAUAAAAACCAUCCUAGAUGCCAACGAUGUGGUGACAGUGAGUUUUGAAGGUUGGCAGCGUAUAGAUAAGGUUGAAGUUGAAAGGGGCGCCAAAGAAGGAAAGCCUAGGGAAAAAAUUGUUGAUAUAGAUGAACUGGUAGAAAUCGGAGGUACAGGCCAGGGAUUCCAAUUAGCGUCAGGAUCGGAGUAGUAGCACUGUUAAUGACUGCAAGCACUGCCGAGUAGACUGAGAAUACUAUCCCGGCGCAUAUGCAUAUCACAGUGCCGACCCAAAAAGUGAAGGUGUUCAAACUUUUCAUCUCUUCAAUAACUGAGAAACCAAAAAUAAUGACAAGAGGCGAGGAAAAAAUUGAUGAGAGUGGAAAGACAUAUUGCCAAUGCUGUAAAAAGAAGUGUACUGGCCCUGUGCUGAAAGUUCAAGAAAAAUAUUUCCACAACGACUGUUUCAAAUGUGUUGUUUGUAAAAAAUCCCUCGCAAAGGGCGGCUUCUUCUGCAAAGACGAUGCUUAUUAUUGCACGGAGGAUUAUCAGAAGAAACACGGCACAAAGUGUGCCACUUGCCAGCAAUACGUUCAGGGUGAGGUUGUGACCGCCCUUGGCAAGACUUACCACCAAAGCUGUUUCACUUGUGCCAACUGCAAGCAAGCUUUCCCAAGUGGUGAGCGAGUGACUUACACUGGUAAAAUAGUGUUGUGCUCCAAGUGCAGCAAUUUACCCGAAGAAAACAACACCCAAUCUGCGUCAAUCACAGAGUGCAGUCGCUGUUUUGGAGAACUUAAGGAAGGCCAGGCAGUGAUUGCUCUAGACCGUCAGUGGCAUGUUUGGUGCUUCAAGUGUACCGUCUGUGGAGUUCCUUUACAUGGAGAAUACAUGGGAAAAGAUGGAGAACCUUAUUGUGAGAAGGAUUAUCACAAAAAUUUUGGUGUGAAAUGUGCAUACUGUAGUAGGUUUAUUUCUGGUAAAGUAUUACAGGCCGGUGACAAUCAUCACUUUCAUCCAACUUGUGCCAGGUGUACAAAAUGUGGUGACCCGUUUGGAGACGGAGAAGAAAUGUAUUUGCAAGGUACUGCAAUCUGGCAUCCCAAAUGUGGACCUGGUCCUCAGACUGAACAAAUGGCAAAUGGGCAUUCUCACAGUGAGAUAGACCGAAUCAGUAAUAGUGACAUUCCGCUCUCACUACAUUCUCAUGGCACUAGCUUGAAUGGCUCUAUUUAUGGCAUUGACAAAAAGCGAGCUGGCAGUCCAGGAUUAUUGCUAAGGGAGUAUAAAAAGGGUGACUACACUGAUAUAAGUCGAAUAUAUACUUAUAGCUACUUAACGGAGGAGCCGACGCUUGGAUAUCUGAAGAAGCCAAUUGAUCCGUACGACAAGAAAAUGACGACAUCACCUCAUUUCCACAGGCCUCAACAAGGAAGAGGCAGCCUUAGAGGAAGCGGUAAGUGGUCCAGGAGUGGGGCAAUGACUGGCCUCGUCGAGUCUCUUGCAAGAGAUAGGCCGAAAUCACCUCAUAUGAAUAACGAAGAGCCCAUUGAACUCGCCCACUUCCCAGACGCACAUCCGCCUAAGCCAACUGACAAGCCUAAGAUUGAGAGAGAUGACUUUCCUGCACCACCUUAUCCUUAUACAGACCCAGAACGGAGGAGGAGGUGGUCUGAUUCUUACAAAGGCAUGGUGGAGUCCGAUGAAGAGGAGGAUGUGGUCGACGCGACUGUAACGAAAACGAAAGUGACCACUGUAGAUGCUGCAAAACUCAAGAAGGAGGAGGCAGAGCUUUCAAAGCUGAGUUCUGGCAUGGGAAAGGUUUUCUUAGCCAAUGUCAAAGAGCGGGAGAGGGUGAUGCGCCAGAGGCAACUCGACCCGAGAAAUGCUUCUAGGUCGCCGUCAGCAGCCUCACAGCCAUCUCAUAGACUUAGAUACCAAAGCCCAAUUAACGCAUCCCCUUCGAGGAAUUUAGAUGCACCUAGGCCCUGGGAUGAUGAUGAGACAUUAGACAGGUGCUCGAGCUACAGGUCCUCAGUUGGGAGGUCAAUACCAACCAUACCGACAUACAAUGUCUAUUCGUCACGCGAGUUGCCCAUGGGGAAGUCAUCAACCCUGCCGCCUAUGAUGUCGGCGAGGUACAUGUUGUCAGCUCGCUGAGACAAGUACCAAAACCCGGGUACGGCCUGGCGCCAAGGUCACACACCUUCAGCUCCACGACAGGGGACUUUUCAUAUAGUGGUUUAGGAGAUAAAGCUCCUAGCACGGAUUUUAGCAGUGCCAAGUCAGAUG
rnacentral:misc_RNA from 1 species